rnacentral:rRNA from 1 species
CCUACGGGCGGCAGCAGUGGGGGAUAUUGCACAAUGGGGGAAACCCUGAUGCAGCCACGCCGCGUGAGUGAAGAAGUAUUUCGGUAUGUAAAGCUCUAUCAGCAGGGAAGAGAAUGCCGGUACCUGACUCAGAAGCCACGGCUCACUACGUGACACCUCCCAUGGUAAUACGUAGGGGGCGAGCGUUAUCCGGAUUUACUGGGGGUAAAGGGAGCGUAGACGGCUGGGCAAGUCUGAAGUGAAAGCCAGGGGGUUAACCCCGGAACGGCUGUGGAAACUGAGCGGCUAGAGUGCUAGAGAGGUAAGCGGAAUUCGGAGUGUAGCGGUGAAAUGCGUAGAUAUUGGGAAGAACACCAGUGGCGAAGGCGGCGUACUGGAUAGUAACUGACGUUGAGGCUCGAAAGCGUGGGGAGCAAACAGGAUUAGAUACCCUGGUAGUC